UGUGCGUCAUUUUCCGGGGCCGUGACGUCAUCUGCGCGCCCUGCUGUUUUCAUUGCUGGAGUGCAGUGUUGACUGUGUUGAUCGUAAAGACCGCUAAAGCUGCUUAUCCACUGGCUGUGCUGUCUACUGAGUGUGUACUCCUGGGAAGUCGAAUGCGGACAAUCGAGACAGUGUAAGCUCUAUCGGCGUUUCCUGCCAAUGAGUUUUGUCGGAGACAUUUGGCUCCAUCCACCGCAUAGUUUGGGAUAGUGAUCCUGGGACAGCAUGCUUUGCUGCAUGCGCUAAGGGCA